AUUAAAGAAUUUCGGUUAUCGAUGGGGAUGCGUUCCAUUAGUUUGUUGGCGGGGUAACGGCCCACCAAGACUACGAUGGAUAGGGGUUCUGAGAGGAAGGUCCCCCACAUUGGAACUGAGACACGGUCCAAACUCCUACGGGAGGCAGCAGUGAGGAAUAUUGGUCAAUGGACGAGAGUCUGAACCAGCCAAGUAGCGUGAAGGAUGACUGCCCUAUGGGUCGUAAACUUCUUUUAUAUGGGAAUAAAGUAUUCCACGUGUGGAAUUUUGUAUGUACCAUAUGAAUAAGGAUCGGCUAACUCCGUGCCAGCAGCCGCGGUAAUACGGAGGAUCCGAGCGUUAUCCGGAUUUAUUGGGUUUAAAGGGAGCGUAGGUGGAUUGUUAAGUCAGUUGUGAAAGUUUGCGGCUCAACCGUAAAAUUGCAGUUGAAACUGGGAGUCUUGAGUACAGUAGAGGUGGGCGGAAUUCGUGGUUAGC
rnacentral:rRNA from 1 species